rnacentral:rRNA from 1 species
UAAGUCCCGCAACGAGCGCAACCCCUAUAGUUAGUUGCCAGCACGUAAUGGUGGGGACUCUAGCUAGACUGCCUGCGCAAGCAGUGAGGAAGGCGGGGACGACGUCAGGUCAUCAUGGCCCUUACGCCUAGGGCGACACACGUGCUACAAUGGACGGUACAGCGGGUAGCUACACAGCGAUGUGAUGCCAAUCUCGAAAAGCCGUUCUCAGUUCGGAUCGGAGUCUGCAACUCGACUCCGUGAAGCUGGAAUCACUAGUAAUCGCGCAUCAGCCAUGGCGCGGUGAAUACGUUCCCGGGCCUUG